rnacentral:rRNA from 1 species
AUGAUGAAGGACGGCGGCAGCCAGGCGGGCGGGUGCCUCUGCAUCGGCGCGCCGAUGCGCGCGCUGUGGCGGGUGUGCGACUCCGCCUGCGACCUCUACGUGCGCGGCAUGUCCGGGUGCGCCACCCGCGUGCCGGCGGGGGCAGUCGCGGGCGGCCGCGGCUCCGGCUUUGUCAGAUCGGCCACGACGGUGCACCUGUGGACGAGUUCGGACCGCGCUGACGACCUCAUCCGCGCCGCGUCAACGAAGCAGCGCCGCGUGGCGACGGCCGAUCAGCCGGCGGAUGUCGGGGCGGCAAAGAAGGGCCGCCUUGGCCCGGUGGUGCCCACGAUCGUGCCGGCUCGGAGGAAGGGCCCGGCGAUGGCGACCAUCGCCGAGAACGGGCCGUGCGACUUUGGCGCCUGCGCGCUGACGCCACCGGACCUGAGGAGGCGCGCCCCGCGGUCGGCGGGCAGGGCGCGCCUGGCGGUGGGUUUGUCGCCGUCAUGGCGGGGAUCGAGGCCUUCGCGGCUCGAUCGU